rnacentral:antisense_RNA from 1 species
AGUCGAGUAGUGAGCUUGUGCAGGAAAUCCUGUCGACGGUCGGUGAUGCGGGCGUGCACCCGGGCCACCUUCUUGCGGGCCUUGGCCCGGUUCGCGCUGCCCUUCCGCUUGCGGGACAGCCCCCGCUGGGCUUUGGCCAACUUGGCCCGAUCCUUGCGCUCAUGCUUGGGGUUGGCGACCUUCUGGCCCGUGGACAGGCUCACCAGCGAGGUGAUCCCGGCGUCCACGCCCACCACCUGGUCGGUGGGGGCGUGGUGGUCGAUCACGUCCUGGCACAGGAUCGACACGUGCCACCGUCCCGCGCUGUCCUUGGACACCGUCACCGUCGAAGGCACCGCACCCUCGGGAAGGGGACGCGACCACACGAUGUCGAGCGGAUCGGACAUCUUCGCCAACGUCAGCUUCCCGUUGCGGUACUUGAACCCCGACCGGGAGUACUCCGCCGACGCCUUGGACUUCUUGCGGGACUUGAAUCGCGGGUAGCGGGCGCGCUUGUCGAAGAAGUUCCGAAACGCUGUCUGCAGGUGUCGCAGCCCUUGCUGGAGUGGGACCGAGGAGACCUCGUUCAGAAACGAGAGGUCG